GCAUAUCAAUAAGCGGAGGAAAAGAAACUAACCAGGAUUCCCCUAGUAACGGCGAGUGAAACGGGAAUAGCCCAACUUGAAAAUCUCUUCGGAGAAUUGUAGUCUAUAGAAGCGCCCUCUGUAGCGGCGGGACCCCAAGUCUGGUGGAAGCCAGCGUCAGAGAGGGUGAGAACCCCGUCGGGUCUACGCUUAGCUGCUUCACGAGGUGCUUUCCACGAGUCGGGUUGUUUGGGAAUGCAGCCCAAAAUGGGAGGUAAAUCCCUUCUAAGGCUAAAUACUGGCGAGAGACCGAUAGCGAACAAGUACCGUGAGGGAAAGAUGAAAAGAACUUUGAAAAGAGAGUUAAAAAGUGCUUGAAAUUGUUGAGGGGGAAGCGUUUGGAAGACGUGGGUGCGCCUAGGCUUACGCGUUUCUAACGAUGCGCUGCAUGUGCUAGGUGCUGGUCAGCAUGGGUUCGUCGGCCGGGAUAAACGCAGGGGUUGAUACUCUGUCUAUGCCGUCUGAUGGACCAAGGUGUGAAUGUCGCUCUGUCCUUCGGGAACUGCGUCAUCAAGAUGCUGGCAGAAGUCUUCCAACCGGCCCGUCUUGAAACACGGACCAAGGAGUCCAACAUGUAUGCGAGUUGGUGGGUGGUAAACCCAUGAAGCGCAAGUAACCUGACUUUGGUGGGAACCGUAAGGUGCACCAUCGACCGACCAUGAGCUUCUGCGAAAGGUUUGAGUGCGAGCAUACACGUUGGGACCCGAAAGAUGGUGAACUAUGCCUGAGCAGGGUGAAGCCAGAGGAAACUCUGGUGGAGGCUCGUAGAUGUGCUGACGUGCAAAUCGCUUUUCGGACUUGGGUAUAGGGGCGAAAGACUAAUCGAACCAUCUAGUAGCUGGUUCCCUCCGAAGUUUCCCCCAGGAUAGCUGGAGCUUGAUUCAGUUUUAUCGGGUAAAGCGAAUGAUUAGAGGUUCGGGGGAUGAAACAUCCUUCACCUAUUCUCAAACUUUAAAUAGGUAAGACGCGUAGGUUGCUUAAUUGAACCUGCGCAAUCAAUGUGAGCUCCAAGUGGGCCAUUUUUGGUAAGCAGAACUGGCGAUGCGGGAUGAACCGAUAGUCGAGUUAAGGUGCCAAACUACGCACUAACCUAGAUCCCACAAAGGGUGUUGAUUGAUAUAGACAGCAGGACGGUGGUCAUGGAAGUCGAAAUCCGCUAAGGAGUGUGUAACAACUCACCUGCCGAAUCAAUUAGCCCCGAAAAUGGAUGGCGCUGAAGUGCGUGACCUAUACUCGGCCAUGGAAGCAAGUGCGAGGCUUCCAUGAGUAGGAGGGCGUGGACGUCGUUGCGCAGCCUGAGGCGUGAGCCUGGGUGAAACGUCGUCUAGUGCAGAUCUUGGUGGUAGUAGCAAAUAUUCAAAUGAGAACUUUGAAGACUGAAGUGGAGAAUGGUUCCAUGUGAACAGCAAUUGGACAUGGGUUAGUCGAUCCUAAGAGAUGGGGUAAUCCUGUGUGAAGAGCGCGAUUCGCGCUGCCCAUCGAAAGGGAAAAGGGUUAAGAUUCCCUUACCUCGAACAGGCGGCUGACGGUAACGUAAGCGAGCCCGGAGACGUCGGCAUCGGCCCUGGGAAGAGUUCUCUUUUCUUUUUAACAACCCGACGGCCCUGGAAUCGAAUCAUUCGGAGAUAGGGCUCAGUGGUUGGUAAAGCACCGCAGUUCUCGCGGUGUCCGGCGCGCCGAUGACGGUCCUUGAAAAUCCGGGGGAGCGACUACCGAUCUGUCGAGGUCGUACACAUAACCGCAUCAGGUCUCCAAGGUGAACAGCCUCUAGUCGAUAGAACAAUGUAGAUAAGGGAAGUCGGCAAAAUGGAUCCGUAACUUCGGGAAAAGGAUUGGCUCUGAGGGUUGGGCCUAGGGGUCCGCGUCUUGAAGCCUACUGCUGUCGGCGGCCUGCCGAGCUCGCAAGGGCGAGGUGGGCUGCUGCGUACGGUGGGUGGACGGGCGUGGAAGCUUCGGCGUUCCCUAGGCGACGAACAACCGACUCAGAACUGGUACGGACAAGGGGAAUCCGACUGUUUAAUUAAAACAAAGCAUUGUGAUGGUCCUAAAGGAUGUUGACACAAUGUGAUUUCUGCCCAGUGCUCUGA
rnacentral:rRNA from 1 species